GUCGCACUUGUAUUCAUUUCCCAUAGACUGCCGAUGGAAACCCCAGAGAGUGAAAGGAAACAAAUCCUCUUUCCACACGUAGACUGGUCCGCAGAUUCCAUAAAGGCAUCUGUUUUACUGACGAAGGGGGCCAUUCCACCGCCGUCGUAGCUCAAGAACCUGAUAGCCCUUUUUCGGCCAAAUUUGAUGUCCCGGCAGGAUCUGCGUUUGAUUGGGAAUUUGGAAAGUUCUUCCUGACGUGGAUUAGGGGAACAAGCUUUAGAGAAAUUCUAAGAGCGAGAGAUUGGAGCACCAGGAAUGAGGAAUUUCUCUUUGUGGGAGUACUUCUGGGGAUCCAUGAAACAUAUGAAAUUAAUCUCAAAACAUUUUUUAUGAGUUUUGUUUGUACACUUCUGGAGCAAAGUUUUAUAGCGUAUUUGGGAGUCUCAAAAUUACCAACUAAAGUGUGUAAUUUGCAAAGGCAGGAAUUGCCCAGUGGAGCACCACUACCUGACGGUGUUACUUGCCUUACCAAACAAACGGUCUUUCCCUUCCAGUUGAGCAGGGGCGAUUGGGAGUGUUUUCUAAACUAUGUACUGUAGUAAGACUUUCUGUAGUUAACAGGCUAAUUUAGUUAAAGUAUUCAAUAUAAAGCUGGAUGCUGGCAAAUUAGUUAUAAUGUAGCAGUUCGGCUUUAACUACCAGUGAUGUGUUUGAACUGCAAGAGUGUGAGGUUUGGGAGAAUGCAUUUUAAACUUACGGGACAGCUCAGCCCCUGAAUGCCUGUACCCUCUCAGUAAGAUCAGAAUUCUCCCUUGAAACAGAGAGGGCCCAAUGGCUCUCUCUCUGAGAGAGCCUGAGUUAGGUCACACUCCUGGUCUGUCCUGCCAUUAUAUCUGCUGAGACCUUUUAGUGAAAGUAUCACUCCUCUGCUGACAAGACUGUUGCCUUACAAAUCAGCAAUCUGCCCAAAUGAUGCCCAAUUCUCUUCUCUGCUGGCAGGGGGAAGUUGGUACCAGACCCAGAGUGGUGAAAUGUUUGAUCCCCCAAAUCUCCAAGGAUGAAAAAGGAAUCCUUUGCCUGAUGGGUACUUCUGCCAGUAUCACUCCUACUCCCACAUCUCUGCUAUCCUUCAAGAAGAGAAAUAGAUGCCCCCAGAGGAACCAACAUGUCUCCUCCCUGGCCUCCUGGAACCACCAACACAUUCUCAUAAAGAUAUCUUGGCCUCCUCUUUAUUGACUCUUCACAGGUGAAUUCUUCCAUAGAACAUUUAUUUUGCCCAUAAGGAAAGGUGUGUGUAAGUGUAAAGAAGACUGGAUUUUCCCUCUUGACAAAAAGGAAAGAGACUUUCCUUUGCCCAGGGUAUUUCCUUGAGAAAGCUUGUAUUUGUAAAUCCUUCCUCAUCACCCUGAUAUGUAUAUAAAUCUUUUGAACAGCUAAACGAGCCUCUUGCCUGUUUUACAACCCAGGAACUUUUCUUAGGGCCUAGGGAGCCACCUCUUUGUAAACAUGAAGGAAGAUAGCGCCCCCUGUCUCCCUGUCACCAUGGGAAUUUAACCUAAAACACCUCAUUCCAAGCUGAAAGUCACAAAGAUUGAAAAGUUUUGUUUUCCUUUCAGAUAAUGGCAGUUAGCUAACACAGGCAGCCAAGCCAGUUACCAAGUAAAUUUAGGAUGAACUAUGAAAGACUGUAUAAUAAACGGUGCUGCCGAAGUCCUCUUACAUGGGGACUAGUUAUUAUUUAUCUCGAGAACAUGUAUGGAAUGGAUCAUAUAUACUUGGCUGUUUGCAAGGGUGAGUGUUCUCACCUUGCAAUCUCAUUAGAGGAUUGCCUGUGAUUUGCAUUAGAGUCUGGUUCAGUGCAUAUUCAAUAAUAAAACUGGUUUAUUUCUUUGCUACA